AUGGAGGUGUCUAGGCCUGGCAGAAAGCGCAGGGGCGGGCAGGGCCUGGGGCGGAGCCCUGAGACUCUGUGUGCAGGAGAGCUGGGGCCAGAAAGGAGGGGAGUAGCCCACCCUCAGGUAAUAGCAGUCUGCAAACUCAAGCUGCCCGCAGGCCCCAGGGACAGUGUGCGCCAACCAGAGGGCAUCGCACCAGAAAGGCCGCCGCAGCGCUCUUAUUUUGAGGGCAAAACUAUCUUUAGUUGGAAAGUAGGGGUGGGUUUCCCUGGUGGCUCAGGUGGUAAAAAAAACCUGCCUGCAAUGCAGGNNNNNCGGGUUUUCAAUCCAUGGAAGACCCCCUGGAGAAGGGAAUGGUUCCCCUCUCCAGUACUCUCGCCUGGAGAAUCCCAUGGACAGAGGAGCCUGGCGAGCUCCAGUCCAGAGGUCACGGGGUUGGACACGACUGAGCGACUAACACUUUCCCUUCACACACUUUUUAGGUUUUUCUGUAAGUGCUCUGGUCUGAAUGAGGAGAAUCCACAAAAUCAAAGUGAAGCUUAUGGAAUGAUUGUUGAGACCUGGCUCCCACUGCUGCCAGAGCUGGGCGAGCUCAGCAGAUACUCACUUGUAGAGGCUCAGAGGGUUAAUUCUGGCAUUUUAAUUAUCAAUUCACCAAAAAAAAAGGAAGAAAUACAGGCAAAAUUAAUGCAAGGUGAGCACAAACGUCUCUGCACCACUGUGUAGACCGUCUGAGCUGAGCACAGACAGCGACAGACUUUCCACACUAAGUCAGGACUCAACUUCUAGUACUAAUCACCUCUCAUGAAUACCUCACUUGUUCAAUUUAAACAGAGGUUGAGAGACAGGAAAACCAAGUGAUGCGUUUGCCCAGGUUCAAAUAUUAGCCCCAAGACCCCGUAUUUUAGUCGAGAAACAGAAAAGGACGUUCGGUGCCAUGCUUUUAUUCAAAUGAAAGGGGAAGAACUACACUGCACCAGGAAGUAGCAAAUAGGACAGUAUUUUACAGCACAGCAUCGUAAAAAACCUGUAAGUAACGCUCCCGAGUGGACAGGCAGCACACCAGACACUGUACAUCGCCCCAAGUGUCCACGGAACCACAAUUAAAAAGCUGGGUUUGGCUUUAAAAACAGCCAACUGAACUGUAACAGUCAUAACACAACUGAGGGGGAUGAAAAGCUUCCCAGCGCCUGUCGCACGGCAGAACCUGACAGGCCGCACUGGUGACUGCGACAAGGGUCUGGCAAACUCAACUGAGCAAGUAUCCAGCAACGUGGCCUCCGAUGAGGAGAAGCACCAACGUGUUUCCAUAAGUUGAUGACUAUCUCCAGACUUUACGAAAUAG
rnacentral:lncRNA from 1 species